AAAGGUAAAAUUAGGAUAUUGUCUUGUAUUAAUAAAUUUAAACUGAAGCUAUAAAAAGUUAGAAAUAAACUAGGAUUAGAUACCCUAUUAUUCUGUAAUUUGAAAUUUUGAAACUAAAAUAGUAAAAGAUAUAUUCUUAAAACUUAAAAAAUUUGGCGGCAAUUUAAUCUUUUCAGAGGAACCUGUUUUUUAAUCGAUAAUCCACGAAAAAUCUUACUUGAGUUUGUAUACCGUCAUUAAAAUAAUUCUUAGAAGAAAUAAUUGUUUAGUUUAAUUUUUUAUCAAAAUUAGAUCAAGGUGCAGCUUAUAGACAAGUUAAAAUGGGUUACAAUAAAUUACUUUAUUGCGGAAUAUUAUUAAGAAGGAUUUGAUUGUAUUUUAGUUUAAUAAGCUAAUAAGAUAUAAGUUCUAAAUUGUGUACAUAUCGCCCGUCGCUUCC
rnacentral:rRNA from 1 species